UGGGGAAUUUUGGACAAUGGGCGCAAGCCUGAUCCAGCCAUUCCGCGUGCAGGAUGAAGGCCCUCGGGUUGUAAACUGCUUUUGUACGGAACGAAAAGGCUCUGGCUAAUACCCGGGGCUCAUGACGGUACCGUAAGAAUAAACACCGGCUAACUUACCUUG
rnacentral:rRNA from 1 species